AACAAUAUAACCACGAUACAGGACAAUGCCUUCGCCAGCUUACAAAAUUUACUGGAACUAUAUCUUUCCCGCAACAAAAUCACCACGAUACAGGACAAUGCCUUCGCCAGCUUACAAAAUUUACGUGAACUGUACAUUCAAUACAAUAACAUUACCGUAUUGGACAAAGAUAUUUUCCUGGGACUUUCAAAAUUAGAGACUCUGGCAGUAGCAAACAAUCCUCUGCACUGUGACUGCAUCUUGGCCGAUUUUGUCAAGUUUGCCCAAUCAAAAAACUUGACGUUAGGAUUUUGGUCUGAACCGACAUGUUCAACUCCCAGUAAUCUGACAGGAGUUUUUUUUAAAGAUCUAUCCUCGGAGGACAUGAAUUGUGAAGUCACUACA